GGAGUCCCUGGGCGAUGCUCAGGAAUUGCUCCCCACAAAACCAGGCAGGAUUUUGGGGAGCCUCGUCUCGGAGCAGACUGUCUUCAGGGCAGGAAGCUCACACAGCUUCACCUGCUGGGUCUGAC